rnacentral:lncRNA from 1 species
CUUUUUCUUUGAGUGGAUCUGCAUUAUAAACUCGGAAUCCAUUUUCCAUUCCACAUGCAAAGCAUCCGUGGUCCUGGUUGAAGCCGGCAUACAGCAGCCCGUUGCCGUGCGGGUUGGCCGGGAGCAGGUUCAUGGCUCUCGCCCGCUCGCUUCCUCCUGCGGGACUUUAAACCAUGGCGGCGCCCGCCCGCCUCAGCCCCGCCGCCGGAGCCCGCCCGAGCCCAGCCGAGCCGUGGCGGACAGAACAGCGGCG